GAUGAACGCUGGCGGUCUGCUUAACACAUGCAAGUCGAACGGAAGUAGCAAUACUUUAGUGGCGGACGGGUGAGUAACACGUAAGAAUCUGCCUCCAGGACGGGAAAAACAGUUGGAAACGACUGCUAAUUCCGGAUGAGCCGAAAGGUAAAAAGAAAUUCGCCUGGAGGUGAGCUUGCGGCUGAUUAGCUAGUUGGUAGGGUAAGAGCCUACCAAGGCGACGAUCAGUAGCUGGUCUGAGAGGAUGAGCAGCCACACUGGGACUGUGCCACGGCCCAGACUCCUACGGGAGGCAGCAGUGGGGAAUUUUCCGCAAUGGGCGAAAGCCUGACGGAGCAAGACCGCGUGGGGGAGGAAGGUUCUUGGAUUGUCAACCCCUUUUCUCAAGGAAGAAGAUCUGACGGUACUUGAGGAAUCAGCAUCGGCUAACUCCGUGCCAGCCGCCGCUGUAAAAC
rnacentral:rRNA from 1 species